rnacentral:rRNA from 1 species
GCAAGUCGAGCGCUACCUUCGGGUGGAGCGGCGGACGGGUUAGUAACGCGUGGGAACAUACCCCUUUCUACGGAAUAGCCAUUGGAAACGAUGAGUAAUACCGUAUACGCCCUUCGGGGGAAAGAUUUAUCGGAAUUGGAUUAGCCCGCGUUAGAUUAGGUAGUUGGUGGGGUAAUGGCCUACCAAGCCUACGAUCUAUAGCUGGUUUGAGAGGAUGAUC